GCAGGCAUAGUUUCAAACCAAAACAUUAGAUUGUGAUUCUAAAAACAGAAGUUAAACCCUUCUUGCCCGCC
rnacentral:tRNA from 1 species